rnacentral:rRNA from 1 species
GNGAAGGANGAAGGCCUAUGGGGUUGUAAACUUCUUUUCUCAGAGAAGAAGCAUUGACGGUAUCUGAGGACUAAGCAUCGGCUAACUCUGUGCCAGCAGCCGCGGUAAGACAGAGGAUGCAAGCGUUAUCCGGAAUGAUUGGGCGUAAAGCGUCUGUAGGUGGCUUAAAAAGUCUCCUGUCAAAGAUCAGGGCUUAACCCUGGGUCGGCAGGAGAAACUCUUAGGCUAGAGUUUGGUAGGGGCAGAGGGAAUUCCCGGUGGAGCGGUGAAAUGCGUAGAGAUCGGGAGGAACACCAAAGGCGAAAGCACUCUGCUGGGCCAUAACUGACACUGAGAGACGAAAGCGAGGGGAGCAAAAGGGAUUAGAUACCCCUGUAGUC